rnacentral:tRNA from 1 species
AAUUGAGUGCCUGAUUAAAGGAUUACCUUGAUAGGGUAAAUAAUGUAGCUACCUACCUCAAUUA